UCUCCGUAGGUGAACCAGCGGAGGGAUCAUUACAGAGUUCGUGCCCUCACGGGUAGAUCUCCCACCCUGUGUUAUUAUACCUUUGUUGCUUUGGCGGGCCGCCCUCGGCUACCGGCCCCGGCUGGUACGCGCCCGCCAGAGGACCCCAAACUCUGAAUGUUAGUGUCGUCUGAGUACUAUACAAUAGUUAAAACUUUCAACAACGGAUCUCUUGGUUCUGACAUCGAUGAAGAACGCAGC
rnacentral:misc_RNA from 1 species